rnacentral:rRNA from 1 species
CUGGCUCAGGAUGAACGCUAGCUACAGGCUUAACACAUGCAAGUCGAGGGGCAGCAUGGUCUUAGCUUGCUAAGGCCGAUGGCGACCGGCGCACGGGUGAGUAACACGUAUCCAACCUGCCGUCUACUCUUGGACAGCCUUCUGAAAGGAAGAUUAAUACAAGAUGGCAUCAUGAGUCCGCAUGUUCACAUGAUUAAAGGUAUUCCGGUAGACGAUGGGGAUGCGUUCCAUUAGAUAGUAGGCGGGGUAACGGCCCACCUAGUCUUCGAUGGAUAGGGGUUCUGAGAGGAAGGUCCCCCACAUUGGAACUGAGACACGGUCCAAACUCCUACGGGAGGCAGCAGUGAGGAAUAUUGGUCAAUGGGCGAGAGCCUGAACCAGCCAAGUAGCGUGAAGGAUGACUGCCCUAUGGGUUGUAAACUUCUUUUAUAAAGGAAUAAAGUCGGGUAUGCAUACCCGUUUGCAUGUACUUUAUGAAUAAGGAUCGGCUAACUCCGUGCCAGCAGCCGCGGUAAUACGGAGGAUCCGAGCGUUAUCCGGAUUUAUUGGGUUUAAAGGGAGCGUAGAUGGAUGUUUAAGUCAGUUGUGAAAGUUUGCGGCUCAACCGUAAAAUUGCAGUUGAUACUGGAUAUCUUGAGUGCAGUUGAGGCAGGCGGAAUUCGUGGUGUAGCGGUGAAAUGCUUAGAUAUCACGAAGAACUCCGAUUGCGAAGGCAGCCUGCUAAGCUGCAACUGACAUUGAGGCUCGAAAGUGUGGGUAUCAAACAGGAUUAGAUACCCUGGUAGUCCACACGGUAAACGAUGAAUACUCGCUGUUUGCGAUAUACUGCAAGCGGCCAAGCGAAAGCGUUAAGUAUUCCACCUGGGGAGUACGCCGGCAACGGUGAAACUCAAAGGAAUUGACGGGGGCCCGCACAAGCGGAGGAACAUGUGGUUUAAUUCGAUGAUACGCGAGGAACCUUACCCGGGCUUAAAUUGCAGAUGAAUUACGGUGAAAGCCGUAAGCCGCAAGGCAUCUGUGAAGGUGCUGCAUGGUUGUCGUCAGCUCGUGCCGUGAGGUGUCGGCUUAAGUGCCAUAACGAGCGCAACCCUUGUUGUCAGUUACUAACAGGUUCCGCUGAGGACUCUGACAAGACUGCCAUCGUAAGAUGUGAGGAAGGUGGGGAUGACGUCAAAUCAGCACGGCCCUUACGUCCGGGGCUACACACGUGUUACAAUGGGGGGUACAGAGGGCCGCUACCACGCGAGUGGAUGCCAAUCCCAAAACCUCUCUCAG